rfam:Hyaloperonospora arabidopsidis Emoy2 Contig92.1, whole genome shotgun sequence.
CCCGCUGAACUUAAGCAUAUUAAUAAGCGGAGGAAAAGAAACUAACAAGGUUUCCCCUAGUAACGGCAAGUGAAGCGGGA